CAAGAUAUUUGCCGGAGAAAAACCUUAAAGGCUGGAAAUGUAGGCAUCCGGGGCACUGACGCGCUCUCUCCGGAUCUCCUCACUCAUUGGCUGCGGGUAUCUCGCACAGCGAACGGACCGCCUUGUCGUCUCGGUCCCCGUAGGCCGUCAUCGUGCUUCCUUUGGAGACUGUAAUUACUCCUAAAAGCUUGGUCGAUAUGUUUGUUUGCUCCUUAGCUGCCUGAGAAUUUUUGAGAAGUAGCAGUAAGGUGUAUGAACUGAAAAAACAAAACAAAACAAAACCCCACAACAUAAGAGCUGGUGUACUGCUGGUCAGUGGCUACAGUGGCUAAUGACUUGAUCCUUGUAGAAGUGGAUGGUGUGCAACAUUCUUUGUUUUGCAAGGGCUUAAGCCUUUUAAAAUAAUUUUAGGACUUUAAAGAUUUCUCUGGUGCCAGUAUGUAUUAUAAAAUGUCCAAGAGAAUCCAGUCAUCCCUUCUGAUGCUUACCAAACCUGAAAGUGGUAGGAAUAAACAUCUAAUGGUGCAGCCCUGACCAAGUGUUGGAUGGGGACUAGUGGUUUCCCACUCCUCCUCUUUGGGGUGACUUCCUAAAAUAGACUGUCUGUUAAUAAGCUUUUGUCUCCAGCUCUGCUUUUGGAGAGGACCCAUGCUGAAACAAAUUGAAAUAUGUUGAAUAUGUGUGCAUUCUCACUGAAUAUCUUUUUUUUUAAAUUAAACCUUCAAAAAAUGAAAUUCAUCAUAUCUCAGAAUUUUAUGGACUACAUGCUCUAUUAAUAGAAAAAGAAAAGACAAUUUUACAGGCUGUAAGUUUGAAGAUGUUGUCAAUUAGGAAGGAUGAUUUCCUUGUGCAAUAAUUGCUGGCAUUUCCAUCAAAUUACAUUUUUACAUUACAUCGUCUAAAAUGCAAGCCUUUCUAAACAAUUUCAAUUUUCAUUAAACUUUGACACUUUAGAUGAUGCAUGUGAGCACUAAGUGACUUAUUUUGCUCA